CAAAUGCAGUACAAAGUCGGCCCUUGCUUAUCUCUUGGACAUUAAGCCGUGAUCCAAAACAGUCAAGCUAAUCAUCAUUCAGGCAAAAGUUUGCUUCAAGAAUGACAACACUGCUAAUGUGAUUUUAUCACUAGCACACCCUGAACACGCUGGAACCAGCAUCUCCAGCCUCCUGGAUAAUUCCCAGACAAUGGUGGAAAGCCAUCAACCCCAAAUUGUCUGUUUAGGAACCCCUAAGUUCUACAGCACAAUACAUCAUUGUGGCCGAGAAUGACAAAGUCACCAUUCCACUUGAGGAUAACAGUCUGACGUGUGCCAUCGACAAGCUGUUUAAAAUGUAUUGGGUUUGCAAUGUAGAAUAUCCUGUCCAACUCAUAUCUGUCUCAAUGCAUGGUCAAGCUACAAUCCCAGUACAUUCAGAACAAGACUCUGACACCAGCAUGAGUGAGGACUUCUCAGCUGCAUCUUGCUCUGCUGCUGUUUAUAUUCUAGAGACUAAUUUUGAUGGCUCCAGUAAUUGCGGCACUUCUGACUACCAAAGCUGUGUAGCAGCAUUUGUUGCAAAAAUGUACUCCUCUUCAAAUUGUACCCUGACCGAUGUGCAAAGAAGCAUCACAUGCACAAAAGAACUACUUUGUGAAGCCCUGGACUGUUUGCAAGAGUGGACCACAUCUCUGCUUAAUCGUUACUCUAUACCCAUUGAUGAAUUGCAAACUUUGAUGAAAGAUUUUGAAAGAGGACGAAAUAUGUUUGAGGAGUUUUAUACCCCCUAUAAAAUGACCAAGUAUUUUGCUGAAAAUCACUCUUUUAUCAAGCCAACAGAAAUCUUCCUUGGAAACAGAGGUGACACUGCAAGAAAGCAAGGUAAAUUAACUCAAGUGGUAAUAGCAGAUACAUGUCAAUACAUAUCUAUUAUUGAUACCCUGAAGUUUCUUUUUGACAAUGAACAAAUGCAAAAGCUCUUUGUGGAUUCAACUGAAAGUGAUGGUAAAUUGCGUGACUACUGUGAUGGCUCACAUUUUAAAAAUUACAAAUUGUACAAUAUAUUUCCUCAA